CGAUGAACCGGGUGCUUGCACCUGGGGAUUAGUGGCGAACGGGUGAGUAACACGUGAGUAACCUGCCCUGGACUCUGGGAUAACCCCGAGAAAUCGGAGCUAAUACCGGAUAGGACCUUUCCUCGCAUGAGGUUUGGUGGAAAGUUUUUCGGUCUGGGAUGGACUCGCGGCCUAUCAGCUUGUUGGUGAGGUAAUGGCUCACCAAGGCGUCGACGGGUAGCCGGCCUGAGAGGGUGACCGGCCACACUGGGACUGAGACACGGCCCAGACUCCUACGGGAGGCAGCAGUGGGGAAUAUUGCACAAUGGGCGCAAGCCUGAUGCAGCAACGCCGCGUGCGGGAUGACGGCCUUCGGGUUGUAAACCGCUUUUAGUAGGGAAGAAGGGCUUCGGCUUGACGGUACCUGCAGAAAAAGGACCGGCUAACUACGUGCCAGCAGCCGCGGUAAUACGUAGGGUCCGAGCGUUGUCCGGAAUUAUUGGGCGUAAAGAGCUCGUAGGCGGUUUGUCGCGUCUGCUGUGAAAACUAGAGGCUCAACCUCUAGCCUGCAGUGGGUACGGGCAGACUUGAGUGGUGUAGGGGAGACUGGAAUUCCUGGUGUAGCGGUGGAAUGCGCAGAUAUCAGGAGGAACACCGAUGGCGAAGGCAGGUCUCUGGGCACUUACUGACGCUGAGGAGCGAAAGCGUGGGGAGCGAACAGGAUUAGAUACCCUGGUAGUCCACGCCGUAAACGUUGGGCGCUAGAUGUGGGGACCUUUCCACGGUUUCCGUGUCGUAGCUAACGCAUUAAGCGCCCCGCCUGGGGAGUAC
rnacentral:rRNA from 1 species